rnacentral:rRNA from 1 species
UAACCUGCCCAAGAGAUCGGGAUAACACCUGGAAACAGAUGCUAAUACCGGAUAACAAUAGAUGAUGCCUAUCAACUGUUUAAAAGAUGGUUCUGCUAUCACUCUUGGAUGGACCUGCGGUGCAUUAGCUAGUUGGUAGGGUAACGGCCUACCAAGGCGAUGAUGCAUAGCCGAGUUGAGAGACUGAUCGGCCACAUUGGGACUGAGACACGGCCCAAACUCCUACGGGAGGCAGCAGUA